ACACUACUGGUGGGUAGCAAAACAGCAGCUAGAAUCUAUAGCUUCUGGCUUUCCAGCCAGUCCUUGUUCCACUACAUUCAUUACUUCUUUGCUGGACUGAAAAGCUUAGGACUUUUCCUGUAAGUAAUACGGAGCCAUUGAAGAUCUGAAGUUUCAAGGAAGUGGUAGGAUGGAUUCUCUUUUACUAUAAGAUGAGGAUGAGGAAGCGGAGGAUCAGAGCUUACGUGAUUGGCUCAGUAUCACACAGUACCACACAAUAAACGAUGAGGAGAUUCUGGCUCACAGAGGUGAAGUGAUCUGCUCAAGAUGAAAUAGCCAGCUGGUGAAAUUACUGAGACAAGCACUCAGGUUCAGAGUCUGGCUUGCAGACAAGGUACAGAUGGAAAUCUUCCUGGACUCAGGCCAAGAAGAGGAGAAAGGCCCUGUGCCCAUCCUGCUGUGAUUCAGGAGUCUCGCAGAAGACAUCAGAAUGCCUUUCUCUGAGUCACAGUCUGUAUCUUCUAGAAAAGGCUGUCCAUCUUCACCCCAAGCCCACUGGCUCCUGAGAUACGACAUCCAGACCCAGUGCAGCUGGACCUGGCCCAGGAAGAUCAUGCGGUUUCUGGGAAGCACUGGAGAAGGAAAAGGCUGAAGAAAGGAAGACCGCUACUGAAAACAGAAGACUGGUCCAAGUGAGGUCUCCAGCUCUAAGGGCUCGGAUUCACGGCAGAGAUCCACGGUUCCUGGCUCCUCUCUCUAGCCCUUAGUC
rnacentral:lncRNA from 10 species